CUUAGCGGGAGGGAGAGCGGCCGGGUGCGAGGCGGUGUGUGAGGUGCCGCGUGGCGCGUGAGGGCCGAGUGUGGUGUGCGCGAGUGUGAGUGCGCGCGUGGGGCGUGCGAGGUGAGUGCGUGCGUCCGCCCCGCGCCCCUCCCCCCGCCUACACCUUGAUCUUAUUUGAUCGGGUCGUGACCCCAGCCCCGCCGGGCCGACCUGGCGUGAAAAGCUGCCCUCCUGCGAAGCCCCUUCCCCGGGGCGCUGUGCAGCGAGGCCUCUCGGGCGGCGGCAUCGCCGGGGUCCCCGGGGUCCCGAGGCUGGUCCCCCGGGGCCGGCGCUCGGAAGUGAUGAGUUGAUCAGAUAGACGAGGCCGGGCUCGUCCCGGGCCGCUGAUUAUCGAGGCGAUUCUGAUCUGA
rnacentral:snoRNA from 1 species